UCGUGAUACUUUCCAAUAUCAUAUCUCAGAUAUUACCUAAAAAUGUUCUAAAAUCCAAAUAACAUUUAAAGGAUAAAACUGUCAAUUCAUCUUAUCACUUCAACAUUAAAGUUGAAAGUGGAAACUCCCCAUUUGGAAAUUUGCUCUGUUUGCACUUUUGCAUAGGUACUAACAUUCCCAUUGCAUACAGAGUUCUUCUGGCAAUGGCUAUUUCGGCUCCUCCUGUGCUCACUGGAAAAAGAUGGAAAAAGAGUUCACAGCUUAUGGGCUGAGCCUCAUGAAUCCUCCUUCCAUUGAUGAGCGCUUCAAAAUUCUUUAGAAAGUUGAGUCUUUUUACUGAAAGCGGUUAGUCAGGACCCAUUUGAUUCGACCACAAGUGCAAUACAACCUUUAAUGAAAGUGUUGGUUAGGGACGAGUUUUUGGGGCAUACCAACGAAGAUAUCAAAAUUUCAAUGAUUUCUUGUAUCACUGAUAUUUCUUGAAUAUAUGGCCAAAAGUACUCUUACAAUGAUCAUAGACAAAUGGAGGUAGAACUAUAUCAUUCUAACUUAUAUUUUUGUUAUUACUUCAAUAUUUUUUCCUUUUUUCACCCUGGCCAA